GACGAACGCUGGCGGCGUGCUUAACACAUGCAAGUCGAACGGAAAGGCCCUGCUUUUGUGGGGUGCUCGAGUGGCGAACGGGUGAGUAACACGUGAGUAACCUGCCCUUGACUUUGGGAUAACUUCAGGAAACUGGGGCUAAUACCGGAUAGGAGCUCCUGCUGCAUGGUGGGGGUUGGAAAGUUUCGGCGGUUGGGGAUGGACUCGCGGCUUAUCAGCUUGUUGGUGGGGUAGUGGCUUACCAAGGCUUUGACGGGUAGCCGGCCUGAGAGGGUGACCGGCCACAUUGGGACUGAGAUACGGCCCAGACUCCUACGGGAGGCAGCAGUGGGGAAUAUUGCACAAUGGGCGGAAGCCUGAUGCAGCAACGCCGCGUGCGGGAUGACGGCCUCGGUUGUAACG
rnacentral:rRNA from 1 species